rnacentral:tRNA from 1 species
GGGAGUUUAGCUCAGUUGGUAAAGAUAUUGCAUUUUAUAUGCAGGGGCCGGGUUCGAACCCCGGAUACUCA